AUGUACAUGCUUACAACAUAGCGUUAAUGCACUCGAUCCCAUUAGAACUUUGUAGUUAAGCGUGCUUGGGCUAGAGUAGUACUAGGAUAGGUGACCACCUGGGAAGUUCUAUUAUUUUACAUU
rnacentral:rRNA from 1 species